GUGUCAGCCGCCGCGGUAAUACGUAGGGCGCGAGCGUUGUCCGGAAUUAUUGGGCGUAAAGAGCUCGUAGGCGGCUUGUCGCGUCUGCUGUGAAAACCCGGGGCUUAACCCCGGGCGUGCAGUGGAUACGGGAAGGCUGGAGGCAGGCAGGGGAGAACGGAAUUCCCGGUGUAGCGGUGAAAUGCGCAGAUAUCGGGAGGAACACCGGUGGCGAAGGCUGUUCUCUGGGCCAUUACUGACGCUGAGGAGCGAAAGCGUGGGGAGCGAACAGGAUUAGAUACCCCUGUAGUCC
rnacentral:rRNA from 1 species